rnacentral:misc_RNA from 1 species
GUGAAUCAUCGAAUUUUUGAACGCAAAUUGCACUCUCCGCGGAGAGGAUGCCUGUUUGAGGGUCAGCCUAUAAAAAUCGACAUCGUUGCUUUGUCUCGGUGGCGUUCGGCUGAAAUUGGGUCAUCUUAAAUCCUUUUGAUUUAAUCGACUUAAAAUUUUCGUUUUGUUCCAUGAACUUUUCGAAGAUCUAUUUCUUUACACGUUUAAGGUAUCGAUUUUUACUAGACGUUACCAUCAUAUCGGAUCGCGUCCAUAAUCUUUCAUUAACUGACCUCACACAGGUAAGAGUAAC